AACACAUGCAAGUCGAACGAUGAUAGAAGAGCUUGCUUUUCUUGAUUAGUGGCGCACGGGUGAGUAAUGCAUAGAUAAUGUGCCCCUUAGUUCGGGAUAGCCACUGGAAACGGUGAUUAAUACCGGAUACUCCUUCUUGUUAUAAGACAAGUCGGGAAAGUUUUUCGCUAAGGGAUCAGUCUAUGUUCCAUCAGCUUGUUGGUGAGGUAAUGGCUCACCAAGGCUAUGACGGAUAUCUGGUUUGAGAGGAUGAUCAGACACACUGGAACUGAGACACGGUCCAGACUCCUACGGGAGGCAGCAGUGAGGAAUAUUGCACAAUGGAGGAAACUCUGAUGCAGCAACGCCGCGUGGAGGAUGACGCAUUUCGGUGUGUAAACUCCUUUUAUUAGGGAAGAUAAUGACGGUACCUAAUGAAUAAGCACCGGCUAACUCCGUGCCAGCAGCCGCGGUAAUACGGAGGGUGCAAGCGUUACUCGGAAUCACUGGGCGUAAAGGGUGCGUAGGCUGGCUUUUAAGUCAGAUGUGAAAUCCAAUGGCUCAACCAUUGAACUGCAUUUGAAACUGAAAGCCUAGAGUUCAGAAGGGGCAGAUGGAAUUAGUGGUGUAGGGGUAAAAUCCGUAGAUAUCACUAGGAAUAUCAAAAGCGAAGGCGAUCUGCUGGGAUGAUACUGACGCUG
rnacentral:rRNA from 1 species